UACGUAGGGUGCGAGCGUUAAUCGGAAUUACUGGGCGUAAAGCGUGCGCAGGCGGUUUUGUAAGCCAGAUGUGAAAUCCCCGGGCUUAACCUGGGAAUGGCAUUUGUGACUGCACGGCUGGAGUGCGGCAGAGGGGGAUGGAAUUCCGCGUGUAGCAGUGAGAUGCGUAGAUAUGCGGAGGAACACCGAUGGCGAAGGCAAUCCCCUGGGCCUGCACUGACGCUCAUGCACGAAAGCGUGGGGAGCAAACAGG
rnacentral:rRNA from 1 species